AGAGUUUGAUCCUGGCUCAGAACGAACGCUGGCGGCGUGGAUAAGACAUGCAAGUCGAACGAGAGAAUUGCUAGCUUGCUAAUAAUUCUCUAGUGGCGCACGGGUGAGUAACACGUGAGUAACCUGCCCCCGAGAGCGGGAUAGCCCUGGGAAACUGGGAUUAAUACCGCAUAGUAUCGAAAGAUUAAAGCAGCAAUGCGCUUGGGGAUGGGCUCGCGGCCUAUUAGUUAGUUGGUGAGGUAACGGCUCACCAAGGCGAUGACGGGUAGCCGGUCUGAGAGGAUGUCCGGCCACACUGGAACUGAGACACGGUCCAGACACCUACGGGUGGCAGCAGUCGAGAAUCAUUCACAAUGGGGGAAACCCUGAUGGCGCGACGCCGCGUGGGGGAAUGAAGGUCUUCGGAUUGUAAACCCCUGUCAUGUGGGAGCAAAUUAAAAAGAUAGUACCACAAGAGGAAGAGACGGCUAACUCUGUGCCAGCAGCCGCGGUAAUACAGAGGUCUCAAGCGUUGUUCGGAAUCACUGGGCGUAAAGCGUGCGUAGGCUGUUUCGUAAGUCGUGUGUGAAAGGCGCGGGCUCAACCCGCGGACGGCACAUGAUACUGCGAGACUAGAGUAAUGGAGGGGGAACCGGAAUUCUCGGUGUAGCAGUGAAAUGCGUAGAUAUCGAGAGGAACACUCGUGGCGAAGGCGGGUUCCUGGACAUUAACUGACGCUGAGGCACGAAGGCCAGGGGAGCGAAAGGGAUUAGAUACCCCUGUAGUCCUGGCAGUAAACGGUGCACGCUUGGUGUGCGGGGAAUCGACCCCCUGCGUGCCGGAGCUAACGCGUUAAGCGUGCCGCCUGGGGAGUACGGUCGCAAGAUUAAAACUCAAAGAAAUUGACGGGGACCCGCACAAGCGGUGGAGUAUGUGGCUUAAUUCGAUGCAACGCGAAGAACCUUACCUGGGCUUGACAUGUAAUGAACAACAUGUGAAAGCAUGCGACUCUUCGGAGGCGUUACACAGGUGCUGCAUGGCCGUCGUCAGCUCGUGUCGUGAGAUGUUUGGUUAAGUCCAGCAACGAGCGCAACCCCUGUUGCCAGUUACCAGCACGUGAAGGUGGGGACUCUGGCGAGACUGCCCAGAUCAACUGGGAGGAAGGUGGGGACGACGUCAGGUCAGUAUGGCCCUUAUGCCCAGGGCUGCACACGUACUACAAUGCCCAGUACAGAGGGGGCCGAAGCCGCGAGGCGGAGGAAAUCCUGAAAACUGGGCCCAGUUCGGACUGUAGGCUGCAACCCGCCUACACGAAGCCGGAAUCGCUAGUAAUGGCGCAUCAGCUACGGCGCCGUGAAUACGUUCCCGGGUCUUGCACACACCGCCCGUCA
rnacentral:rRNA from 1 species